AUUGAACGCUGGCGGCAGGCCUAACACAUGCAAGUCGAGCGGAUGAAGGGAGCUUGCUCCUGGAUUCAGCGGCGGACGGGUGAGUAAUGCCUAGGAAUCUGCCUGGUAGUGGGGGAUAACGUCCGGAAACGGGCGCUAAUACCGCAUACGUCCUGAGGGAGAAAGUGGGGGAUCUUCGGACCUCACGCUAUCAGAUGAGCCUAGGUCGGAUUAGCUAGUUGGUGGGGUAAAGGCCUACCAAGGCGACGAUCCGUAACUGGUCUCAGAGGAUGAUCAGUCACGCUGGAACUGAGACACGGUCCAGACUCCUACGGGAGGCAGCAGUGGGGAAUAUUGGACAAUGGGCGAAAGCCUGAUCCAGCCAUGCCGCGUGUGUGAAGAAGGUCUUCGGAUUGUAAAGCACUUUAAGUUGGGAGGAAGGGCAGUAAGUUAAUACCUUGCUGUUUUGACGUUACCAACAGAAUAAGCACCGGCUAACUUCGUG
rnacentral:rRNA from 1 species